rnacentral:rRNA from 1 species
CCUACGGGAGGCUGCAGUGAGGAAUAUUGGUCAAUGGGCGCUAGCCUGAACCAGCCAAGUAGCGUGAAGGAUGACUGCCCUAUGGGUUGUAAACUUCUUUUAUAUGGGAAUAAAGUGCAGUAUGUAUACUGCUUUGCAUGUACCUUAUGAAUAAGGAUCGGCUAACUCCGCGCCAGCAGCCGCGGUAAGACGGUGGAUCCGAGCGUUAUCCGGAUUUAUUGGGGUUAAAGGGAGCGUAGGCGGGUUGUUAAGUCAGUUGUGAAAGUUUGCGGCUCAACCGUGGAAUUGCAGUUGAUACUGGCAGCCUUGAGUACAGUAGAGGUAGGCGGAAUUCGUGGUGUAGCGGUGAAAUGCUUAGAGAGCUCGAAGAACUCCGAUUGCGAAGGCAGCCUGCUGGACUAUAACUGACGCUGAGGCUCGAAAGUGUGGGUAUCAAACAGGAUUAGAUACCCCUGUAGUC